ACCUACGGGUGGCUGCAGUGGGGAAUAUUGCACAAUGGGCGGAAGCCUGAUGCAGCGACGCCGCGUGAGGGAUGACGGCCUUCGGGUUGUAAACCUCUUUCAGCAGGGACGAAGCGUAAGUGACGGUACCUGCAGAAGAAGCGCCGGCCAACUACGUGCCAGCAGCCGCGGUAAGACGUAGGGCGCGAGCGUUGUCCGGAUUUAUUGGGCGUAAAGAGCUCGUAGGCGGCUUGUCGCGUCGACCGUGAAAACUUGGGGCUCAACCCCAAGCCUGCGGUCGAUACGGGCAGGCUAGAGUUCGGUAGGGGAGACUGGAAUUCCUGGUGUAGCGGUGAAAUGCGCAGAUAUCAGGAGGAACACCGGUGGCGAAGGCGGGUCUCUGGGCCGAUACUGACGCUGAGGAGCGAAAGCGUGGGGAGCGAACAGGAUUAGAUACCCUUGUAGUCAG
rnacentral:rRNA from 1 species